rnacentral:rRNA from 1 species
UACGUAGGGUGCAAGCGUUAAUCGGAAUUACUGGGCGUAAAGCGUGCGCAGGCGGUCUUGCAAGACAGAUGUGAAAUCCCCGGGCUCCAACCUGGGAACUGCAUUGUGACUGCAAGGCUGGAGUGCGGCAGAGGGGGAUGGAAUUCCGCGUGUAGCAGUGAAAUGCGUAGAUAUGCGGAGGAACACCGAUGGCGAAGGCAAUCCCCUGGGCCUGCACUGACGCUCAUGCACGAAAGCGUGGGGAGCAAACAGG